rnacentral:rRNA from 1 species
AUUGAACGCUGGCGGAAUGCUUUACACAUGCAAGUCGAACGAUGAACCUUAGCUUGCUAAGGGGAUUAGUGGCGAACGGGUGAGUAAUAUAUCGGAACGUAUCCAAUAAUGGGGGAUAACUAGUCGAAAGAUUAGCUAAUACCGCAUACGUCCUACGGGAGAAAGCUAGGGACCUUCGGGCCUGGCGUUAAUGGAGCGGCCGAUAUCUGAUUAGCUAGUUGGUGGGGUAAAGGCUCACCAAGGCGACGAUCAGUAGCUGGUCUGAGAGGACGACCAGCCACACUGGAACUGAGACACGGUCCAGACUCCUACGGGAGGCAGCAGUGGGGAAUUUUGGACAAUGGGCGAAAGCCUGAUCCAGCCAUUCCGCGUGAGUGAAGAAGGCCUUCGGGUUGUAAAGCUCUUUCGCAAGGGAAGAAAACUUAAGCUUUAACAUAGCUUGAGGUUGACGGUACCUUGAUAAGAAGCACCGGCUAACUACGUGCCAGCCGCCGCGGUAA